rnacentral:tRNA from 1 species
GCCGGGGUAGCUCAGCGGUAGAGCAAUAGUUUUGUAAACUAUAGGUCGCAGGUUCAAUUCCUGUCCCCGGCU